UAUGGAAGCUUGCUUCCAACUGAGAAGAGUAGUGGCGAACGGGUGAGUAACACGUGGGUAACCUGCCCAUAAGAGGGGGAUAACGAUCCGGAAACGGGUGCUAAUACCGCAUAGUUUUCUUGAUCGCAUGAUUGAGAAAGGAAGACGGCCUUUGUGCUGUCGCUUAUGGAUGGACCCGCGGCGUAUUAGUUAGUUGGUGAGGUAACGGCUCACCAAGACGAUGAUACGUAGCCGACCUGAGAGGGUGAUCGGCCACAUUGGGACUGAGACACGGCCCAAACUCCUACGGGAGGCAGCAGUAGGGAAUCUUCCGCAAUGGACGAAAGUCUGACGGAGCAACGCCGCGUGAGUGAAAGAAGGUUUUCGGAUCGUAAAACUCUGUUGUCAGAGAAGAACAAGUUGGAGAGUAACUGCUCCAGCCUUGACGGUAUCUGACCAGAAAGCCACGGCUAACUACGUGCCAGCCGCCGC
rnacentral:rRNA from 1 species